rnacentral:rRNA from 1 species
UACGUAGGGUGCAAGCGUUAAUCGGAAUUACUGGGCGUAAAGCGUGCGCAGGCGGUUCGCUAAGACAGAUGUGAAAUCCCCGGGCUUAACCUGGGAACUGCAUUUGUGACUGGCGGGCUAGAGUAUGGCAGAGGGGGGUAGAAUUCCACGUGUAGCAGUGAAAUGCGUAGAGAUGUGGAGGAAUACCGAUGGCGAAGGCAGCCCCCCUGGGUCAAGACUGACGCUCAUGCACGAAAGCGUGGGGAGCAAACAGG